rnacentral:rRNA from 1 species
CACGGGGGGAGCAAGCGUUGUUCGGAUUCAUUGGGCGUAAAGGGCUCGUAGGUGGCUUUGCAAGUCGGGUGUGAAAGCCCUCGGCUCAACCGAGGAAGUGCGCCCGAAACUGCAGAGCUUGAGUGCCGGAGAGGGUAGCGGAAUUCCCCAAGUAGAGGUGAAAUUCGUAGAUAUGGGGAGGAACACCGGUGGCGAAGGCGGCCACCUGGACGGUAACUGACGCUGAGACGCGAAAGCGUGGGGAGCAAACAGG